UGAGGUUGGAGACCAGGGCAUAUUUUUUCCUUUUCUUUCAGCCCAACAAAACUUGAAUCCAUCUCUGCAGAUUGUAUCCUUGCAUCACAGAGUUUAUCAGGUCACCUUGCAGCCUUCUCUUCUCCAUGCUGCACUCCUUGGAUUCCCACCCAUGAAAACUGGAAGUUUGGAGAGAUGUGUGAGUGCUCCGGUGAGAUUCCUGGAGAAUGUUAGGAUACCUUUGCAGCAUGCCGUGCAACCUGCAAGCAGCAGGGCUAUUUCUACUGGAACUUUAUUGGUGAAUGCCAUGCAGCCUGGAAACUUCUGGGGAAGGAAUUUCUUCAGGCCUUGACUCAGUCUCUGUCAACCCUGAACAUACGUAAAAUCGGUGGAAAACACAUUUUGGCGUAUAAUACUAACAGUGAAAGCACUCUUACAAAAUAACUGUCUUUAAAACCACAGAUAUUCUAAAGUUUCUUGUUGCC
rnacentral:lncRNA from 1 species